rnacentral:ncRNA from 1 species
UAAACGGGAAUGAGGCUCUCCCGGAGCAGUCGGACUGCUCAAACCGCCCUAAAGGCUGAUGGCUUCUGCAUUU